GAAAUAAAGAAUUCUCUCGAAGUG
rnacentral:miRNA from 1 species